rnacentral:rRNA from 1 species
GGAUUAGAAACCCGGGUAGUCCACGCCCUAAACGAUGAAUACUCGCUGCUAGCGAUAUACAGUUAGCGGCUAAGCGAAAGCGUUAAGUAUUCCACCUGGGGAGUACGCCCGCAAGGGUGAAACUCAAAGGAAUUGACGGGGGCCCGCACAAGCGGAGGAGCAUGUGGUUUAAUUCGAUGAUACGCGAGGAACCUUACCCGGGCUUGAAAGUUAGUGAAGUGGCCAGAGAUGGUUGCGUCCGCAAGGACACGAAACUAGGUGCUGCAUGGCUGUCGUCAGCUCGUGCCGUGAGGUGUUGGGUUAAGUCCCG